CAAGUCUGCUGAUUGGUCACGGCAUGGGUCACUGUGCUGAGGAAAGUCCGGACUCCGUAGAAUAGGGUGCUCGCUAACGGCGAGGCAGCGAAAUCUGACGGAAAGUGCAACAGAAAAUAUACCACCGAUUUAUGAUUUAUGAUUUACGAUUUGGGACACAACUCAAAUCGUAAAUCGUAAAUCGUAAGUUUUAAAUCGGUAAGGGCGAAAUGGCGAGGUAAGCGCUCACCAGCGUUGUAGCGAUACAACGGCUUUGCAAACCCCACCCGGAGCAAUGUCAAACAGCAUAAAAUGGGUGGCAACACCUUGCGGUGUGAUUCGCACCGAUAUGAUGUGCGGGUAGACAGCAUCAGAUGCGCAGUAAUGCGUAUCGUAGAGAGAUGACCAUGGGUCGAAGGUUACUUCGAUCAACAAAAUCCGGCUUAUAGGCAGGCUUGAACC
rnacentral:RNase_P_RNA from 1 species